GAUGAACGCUAGCUACAGGCUUAACACAUGCAAGUCGAGGGGCAGCGGGAUUGAAGCUUGCUUCAAUUGCCGGCGACCGGCGCACGGGUGAGUAACGCGUAUCCAACCUUCCGUACACUCAGGGAUAGCCUUUCGAAAGAAAGAUUAAUACCUGAUGGUAUGAUGAGAUCGCAUGGUAUCAUCAUUAAAGNUUUAUCGGUGUACGAUGGGGAUGCGUUCCAUUAGGUAGUAGGCGGGGUAACGGCCCACCUAGCCUACGAUGGAUAGGGGUUCUGAGAGGAAGGUCCCCCCACAUUGGAACUGAGACACGGGUCCAAACUCCUACGGGAGGCAGCAGUGAGGAAUAUUGGGUCAAUGGACGAGAGUCUGAACCAGCCAAGUAGCGUGCAGGAUGACGGCCCUAUGGGUUGUAAACUGCUUUUAUAAGGGAUAAAGUGAGUCUCGUGAGACUUUUUGCAUGUACCUAUG
rnacentral:rRNA from 1 species